rnacentral:sRNA from 1 species
AAUAUUUUGAGAACGCCAUAAAUAAACCACCAUUCCAAAUGAGCAGCAGGAAAUUCUACCUCUUCAUCAUCGUUUUCAAUUUCAUCAUCUUCUUUAUGAUCAUUGUCUUUUUGAUCAUCUUCUUUUUUAUCAUCCUACAAGGUAAAGAGGGCAUAAAGUGAGUUAUCCACAAAGUUAAGUAUAUCCACAAUUGGGAAUCCAUACCAAAUACGUAGUGGAUAAUAAGUUUUUACGGUCAAUUAAUCCUAAAACACUAUCCUGUCGUUGUAGUAUUUUAGGUGCCAAUCCAAAUGGGUGUGAUGCAGACAGAUGAGAUAUGAUCAGAAGUUGCUAAGUCAAGCCAAGCAGAAUUUGGUUGGUUUUCUAACAGUCCUAGUGUUGAUGCAGAAAACAGUAAAAAAUCACAGAAAUGACUGAUAUACUCGAUCGCAAGGUCGACUACCAGAAGGGACCCUGUGAUCGAGUACAACAGGAUGAUAGAGAGUGAAAAUGCAGAAAUGGACCAGUUUAGUCUAUCACGCAGUCUCACUGUUAGUAGACUAGUGUGAUCGAGUAGAAUGAUUGAAAACAGAAAAAUACUAAAA